AUGAGUUUUUGCCAUGCCCUACUCUUUGCAAUAACCUUUGGACAGGUAUUAAAAUUGGCUAGCCUGUUCCCUGGUGCACCUGCUUCUGCUACUGAUCCAAACUGCAGAACAUCUCCUUCAUCCCCAAGGCCUCCAGGCAAUGUCCAAUGGGGAAUCUGCUCUAAAAGGAACCAGAUCAACGUUUUCCAGCCCCUUCAUUCUGUAGCUACCUCUAUGUGAGGAAAGAAUAGAAAACGUUCAGGACAUCAUCAUACAGGCUCCUGAUCUACCAAGUUCCAGUAGCAGUGACGCCUACACAGAAGACUUGGAACUGCAAACAGGCUGGGGUCAUCUCACUGACAUCUGACGCUGUCCAACCAGAAGUUUGUUUUUUGUUUUGGGGGGAUGAAGAGGGAAGCAAACUGUACUAAAGGACUAAAAUAAUUUCAUAUCUAUACUUUAUUUGUUUUUGUCUUUUUUUUUGGCGGGAGAGGAGGGGUUUUCGGGUAGAAUUUCACAUCCUAUCUGGAGUGAAGAGGAGGGUGGAAAGCUCAGCCCUUCACCCAAAUAUAACCUAGUAAUGACAUCUCUAAGCGUGGGAAGUGUUUCCCUCCACACUGGGAGGAUCUGAGGCUGCACCCCAGUGGGAUUCCCUGCUCGACUUGGAAGGCCGACCUGAGGGCGAUGGCGUAUCAGCAAGAGCGCUGAGGGCUUAGCGGGCCGGGAAUGAAAUGCUAGAGGGGAGAGGCUGGAAGCGAGCGUCCCAAUCUGGAGGCGGGGGCUGUGCUGUGCAGGAGUGACAAGAGCCAGGCGGCCGCCGCCUCGGUGCCCUCUGCUGAGGUUCUCACACGGACGCGGCGCUGCUGGGCACUGAGUCCGAGUCACGAGAGGCGACCCAGCUGUGCCCAGCGGGCCAGCGCCAGACCCUGGCGUCCUCCAUCUUCUCUCCUGAGCUCCCCCUGCUCCAGCUGCCUGAGCCACGGACCGCAGCACCACACACCCCCGCGGGGGGGGACGCCGCGCCCCAUCCCC
rnacentral:lncRNA from 1 species